AUGCAUUUGUUUGACAGACCUGAAACAGUUGUCUGCUGCUAAGGUUUUGACUACAGAUACAAGAAAAGAGUGUCUUUAUGCUUUCUACAUGCUUGAUUGUGGUAGUCAAAAUUGAAUAGAGGACUACAGGA
rnacentral:snoRNA from 1 species